AAUUGUCAGACAACCUAUGAACCCACAUAUCUCAGGAACAGAAGGAUGUAUCAAGAAUACUGUAAAAAGGGAAUAACGGCGGAAAACACGUCAACAUGUCCUGGGAAUUGAACAAGCCAAGGAGGAGACGGACAUUUCCAGAUUAAAGACCUUGCCACAUCACUUUUAUGAACACCACAACUCCAAUGGCAGACUACUUAUGGUGACCUUUACCCCAUCAAUCAAGAUUGGCAUUACUGGAAUAUUUAUUUUCAGUAUUAAUAUGUAUGUUCUUUUAUUAUUCUGCAGAAUCCCAUAGUCAUUUAGCAUAUUGCUAUCCCCCACUUUAUGUCCAUGGUUUU